UACAGAGGGUGCAAGCGUUGUUCGGAAUUAUUGGGCGUAAAAGGGUGCGUAGGCGGUGCGGUAAGUCUGUACGUGAAAUCUACCUGGGACUCAACUCAAGUGAGUUCUGCGUAAGUAGAAACUGCCGUGCUUGAGUGUGGGAGAGGUGAGUGGAAUUCCCGGUGUAGCGGUGAAAUGCGCAGAUAUCGGGAGGAACACCAGUAGCGAAGGCGGACACUCUGGGCCGUGGACUGAACGCUGAGGAGCGAAAGCGAUGGGUACGCAACGAGGA
rnacentral:rRNA from 1 species